AACGAACGCUGGCGGCAUGCCUAACACAUGCAAGUCGAACGAGACCUCCGUGUCUAGUGGCGCACGGGUGCGUAACGCGUGGGAACCUGCCCUUAGGUUCGGAAUAACUCCCCGAAAGGGGUGCUAAUACCGGAUAAUGUCUUCGGACCAAAGAUUUAUCGCCUUUGGAUGGGCCCGCGUUGGUUUAGCUGGUUGGUAGGGUAAAAGCCUACCAAGGCGACGAUCCAUAGCUGGUCUGAGAGGAUGAUCAGCCACGCUGGGACUGCGACACGGCCCAGAAUCCUACGGAAGGCAGCAGUGGGGAAUAUUGGAAGAUGGGCGAAGGCCUGAUCCCGCCACGCCGCGUGAGUGAUGAAGGCCUUAGGGUAGUGAAGCUCUUUUACACGGGAUGAUAAUGACGGUACCGGGAGAAUAAGCACCGGCUAACUCCGUG
rnacentral:rRNA from 1 species